ensembl:lincRNA
CCCAGCCUAGCCAGUCCCCUCCUGGAGCGGCGCGAAGACUCUCUGGUCCCCAACCGCCGCCUCCGCUCCGGAACUCGGAGUCCUGGUGGUCUUGCUGCAUUUUUAGCCAAGCGCAGAUUUUGGCACUACCACCCCCUCCCCGGCCCCGCAGCCACUUAUGAUGACUCGCUGGAUCGUGGGGAUGGGGUCUUGCCUCCGCGAGCGCGCGUGUGAGCCAGCUUGUGUGCAGGUCGCGGUGCCCACGCGCAGAGCUCUGAAGCAGCCUUCCAUGCUUCGUGGUUAUUUCGGUUUCCAGGGAAACGAGGUUCGUUGCCGGGAGCCAGUGCAGUAUCCUCUUCUCUGUACUCAGACGCUAAGACGCAUGUAGCACCUCCCUGCGCAUCGGUGCUACUCUGGACAAGGACGGUCCCACAGUCAGGACCCCAGAAGCUCCACAUCGCGGUCCCUUGGGGUUUACAGCCUCCCUGUCGUUAUGUUCACCCACCUCACUCUGCCUGGGCCUUUUUGCAAUCUCCUUGCUCCUGGGAUUGUCCCCUACUCCACUCCGGGGCCUCACCUGGCAACCCCCGCCCCCCUUACCUUCAUCCCACUAUAGCUUCCGUUUGGUUGGCCCCAGUUGUUUUAUGUCGCCAUGCUGAGGGUUUUACAGGACUUUCUAUUUCACUCCUUGCAACAAAUUCCAAGCAAGAGGCACUAUUGAUCUAUCAUCUGCAGAUAGAUGGCUUCCCUGGCAACUGCACAGUGGUGAGUCAUCCAGAGAGCUUUCAUGAGAUCAAGCAGUGGGAUCUCACAAGUGUGACGAUGCACCUUGAUUAUUAUUUCAAAGGCUUUGUCUAUGAAAUAUUAGAGAUCCACAAAAAUGAAAUAUACAUGUAGCACCAUUGUAACUUAUAAACGAGCAACUGACUCCUUGCACUCAAACAUCACCACCACAGGAGUUGAGAACCAGCCUGUGGCUGCCAUGGCCACCUCCCUGCUACCAAGGCACUACCCAAUUCAUCUGAAGUCCCUUCUUUGCACUUUCAGCUAUCUUUAUCGACAAGCACAGGUUUCUAACCACCACACUUUGGUCUUGCUUGUUUUUGAACUUCAUAUAAACAGAAUACCAAACCUAAUGUGCACCUAUCUGGCUUCCUUCAUUUGACAGCAUGUCUGUGAAAUGUACUCAUGUUGUUGUAUGCAGCUGAAGCUUACUCUUUGCCGGCUAUAAAUCCACUGUAUAAGAUGUCACAGCUGCUUUGCAUCAUUGGUGAUGCACGCCUGCCUCCAGGUUAGGAAUAUUAUAAACUUCUAAUUUGUGUACCUUGGAGCUCCUGGGUGAACAUGCAUUUUGGGGUGUGCACCUAAGAAAGAAAUUGCUGGGGGUGAUACCUAUCUUUGCUUUUUGUAUCCUUCUGUAUUGAGAUGCAGUUUAUACGCCCUGGUUUUAAGAAUUUGGAGGUGGGAUGCCUUACCACCGCCUCAUGGAGCGUAACUGGCCCACCUUCCCCAAAAGUCCCCUCUUUGGCCACCCCUCCUCCACUCUAGGCCUAUGCGAUCUCCAUCUGCCACCUGUCACUGUGGUUUUAAUUUAGCAUUUUGUGUGCAUAGACACACACAGGAGCCAGUCUUUUUGUGUCUGGCUUCUUUCACUUGGCAUAAUGUGUCUCGGGUUUGUGCAUGUUGUUGCAUGAAUCAGUGGAUCGUUGCUUUUAGUGCUGAGUGGAAUUCUGCUGACCUGUAUCUAUCCAUUCACAAAAUGAUGGACAUCUGGGCUUUUUCUCAAGAGUUAUUCAGAAUAAGGGUGCUGAUCAGAAGUGCUUGGUAGUGUCAUUCAAGUACAACUCUUUUGUGAUCAUAUGGUCACUUCUCUUGGGAAGAUACUUAGAAGAGGGAUUGCUAAAUUUUGUCAUAGGCACCUGUUAUGGUUUGGGUCUAGAUGUCCCCCCAAAGCCUCAUGUGGUCAUAGGCUUGAUCUAGAGCAUGUGAAGCUGGAAGUGAUUCAUGUUGCAAUGCUAGGCUCUGGGUCCUAGGAUUAAGGGAGUGUUGCCCACCCUAAGUAAUCUGAAUAAAAUAAAAGAGACAGGGCCAUGCUGUUAAGUUUCUCUUGUUGCUUUUGCUGUCUUCCACUGCCAUGAACCCAAUGAAGCUGUCUUGUUACAUUUGCUGCUUUGUGCACACUGUGUUGUUUCUCCUCUGUGAUGCUUGUUUGCCAUCCCAGCCUUGGAUCCAGCUGAUUAUGGACUGAACCUCUACAAACUGUAAGCCAAAUAAUCCCCUUCCCCUUUAACUUUGACUGUCAGGUCUGUUGUCUUAGCAAUGAGAGGAAAGUAACUAACACAGCUCCUGUUUAACUUCAGAUAAGCUGACAGACUUCCAGAGUGGCCAAAUGCUUUUGCAUUCCCCAUACCAAUGUGUGAGCAUUCCUGAGCUUCUGUACAGAAGCCUCGGAAGCAGCCAGCCUCCUAAUGAUGCUGCCCUGAUGAAGGGUCUGGCAUGGCAUCUGAUUGUGAUUUCAGUGUCAUGCCACACCUUCCACGGAUCUUCACGAGGGGUCUUUUCAGAUCUUCUGAUGAUGUGAAAGAGUGGGGUUGUCUUCCGUGCCUGAGAAGUGAUGUUCUUCCAGAAAUGUUUUCUUGAACCAAGACCACAAAUGGUCCCUCCCAUGUCUUUCGGAAGUCUUAUACUUUUAGCUUACACAUCUGUCUGACUUGUUUCAAAUUAACUUUUGUAUAGAGUGAAGUUACAGUCAAGGUUUUAUUUUUGCAUAUGGCUAUCCAAUUGUUCAGCACCAUUUGCCAAAUAUACUUACUUUUAACCUUGGCACUUGUCUUGAAAAUCAAGUGACGAUAAAAAAAAAUAUGAGGCUAUUUCUGCACUGUCAGAUCUGUCCUAUUAAUUGAUAGGCCCAUCCCUACACCAAUACCACACUAUCUUCAUUAUAGGAGCACUAUAGGAAGUCUUAGAACCAGUCACUGUAAGUCUUCCAAACUUGUUCUUUUUCAAAACUGUACAUCUGUUCUAGGUCCUUUACAUUUCCAUAUGGAUUUUAGAAUUAGCUUAGUUUCUACUAAAAUGUCUUAUCAGGAGUUUGAUUGGGAUUAUAUUGGACCUGUAUAUUAAUUUGAAAAUAACUGAUAUGUUGACAGUAUUGAAUCUUCUGGCCUACA